AGUGAACGCUGGCGGUAGGCCUAACACAUGCAAGUCGAACGGCAGCACAGUAAGAGCUUGCUCUUACGGGUGGCGAGUGGCGGACGGGUGAGGAAUACAUCGGAAUCUACUUUUUCGUGGGGGAUAACGUAGGGAAACUUACGCUAAUACCGCAUACGACCUACGGGUGAAAGCAGGGGAUCUUCGGACCUUGCGCGAUUGAAUGAGCCGAUGUCGGAGUAGCUAGUUGGCGGGGUAAAGGCCCACCAAGGCGACGAUCCGUAGCUGGUCUGAGAGGAUGGUCGGCGACACUGGAACUGGGACACGGUCCAGACUCCUACGGGAGGCAGCAGUGGGGAAUAUUGGACAAUGGGCGCAAGCCUGAUCCAGCCAUACCGCGUGGGUGAAGGAGGCCUUCGGGUUGUAAAGCCCUUUUGUUGGGAAAGAAAAGCAGCAGGUUAAGACCCCGCUGUCCUGACGGUACCCAAAGAAUAAGCACCGGCUAACUUCGUG
rnacentral:rRNA from 1 species